CAUUGGUGAGAAUCCAAUGCCCCGAAAACCUAAGGGUUCCUCUGCAAGGUUUGUCCACGGAGGGUGAGUCAGGGCCUAAGAUCAGUCUGAAAAGCAUAGUCCAUGGACAACAUGUGAAUAUUCAUGUACUAUCCCUUGUUGGUCCAAAGGAACGGAUGAGGCUAGGUCCAAAAUUUUUAUUUCUGUUAAUGAGACUAUCAAUUUGGAUUCUGUAAAUUUUUGCAGCUCCCGCUGAUGCAUAAUCUACUGUGAAAUGAUAAAUUUUUUCUUACAAUAUAUCUUCUUUAUCUACAGUUCAUUGCUGCUUGUAAAAAGCCUCCUGUAUACUGUAUCAUUAUGGAG
rnacentral:ncRNA from 1 species